GCCUCUAGGGUUUUUUUCUUCUUUCAUCCGUAUACCUUCUUCACGCAAACCUACCCCUAAAUCAACCCAGCCACCGCCAUUCAUAUAGUGGGCAAAUGGUUUCCUUCACUCCUUUACACAUGUUUUCAUAAUUUGAUUUUGAUGGUUUUGGGUUGAUUAGGGAAACUGGAGGAAGCAAUUGAGCAGCUCACACAGGCUAUAUUGCUCAAUCUAACCUCAGCAAUUAUGUAUUCAGGUUCUCUCAUCGCGAUCGCUUCAGCCGAAGUCUUCUUCGAAGAACGUUAUCACGGUACCUUCUCUCUCUCUCUCUCUAGCUCUUAUUUUCUAAUUCUUACUUGUUGAUUUUAGCUUGCAUUUCAAGAUUCCUAUGAUUUUUUGGUGGUUUAGUGGAGUGAAUUGAUGUUGAAUUUGAUAUUCCUCGCCGAGAGUCCUAUGAUUUUUCAAUUCAAUUUUUAAUUUGUUGUUAAAUUGUUUAAUUUGUUCCGGUGAGCCUUAUUGUGUUGAUAUGUACAUUCUUUAUCCUUUUUAGUUAUUUAAUUAUGUGUAUUUAAACUUACUUUUCUACUGAUGCAGUGAUGCGCAAGAAAGAGUAGCAUUACUUCUGAUAUCCAUUGUCAGUAUUAAGUGGAUGACCAUUAUUCUCUCUCUCUCUCUCUCUCUCUCUCUCACAGUUUUUCUUUGAUAUCAUUUGACGUUCUCAGUUCAUUUUUCCUUGUGUUGGCUUUGGUUAAUGCUACUAUUGAAUUUUCAUCAAUUGUAUUUAUUUCUGGCAUUGAGACAAUGAGACCAAUGCAACUAAUUAUAGUCCUCAUUUUUUUGUUAAAGAGGAUGUUUUAUUGCUUCACUGUGGAUAAGGGAUCAGAAUGUGAUGAAUUAUGUCUUAGUCGAAUCCCAACUCUCCUUUGCAGUCCAUCGGGAAUCAUGGACCAGAUAGAUGAGUCCUAAACAUCUUUCAAGCUGACCAGUCAUUAUCUUCACCCGGAGGAGCUCCUCUCCAUCAGAUGCAGUAGUAUUAUAGGCGACUUUGUGUCCCUGAUAACUUUUCCAGAAAAUGGAAUGCUGUUGUUCAUUGCUUAACUUUGGAGGCAAAACGAACUUCUGUAGUGGAGAUGGAUGAACUCGUAUAACAAGUUGAAUUGUACAGGACUAGUUGGCACUUGUUACAUUUGUUCAAGGAUUAUAUAUUUUUAGAUAGAUGUGUAUAAAAAAUAUUUGGGUAGACUAGUAAUUAUAUUUUCGGAUAGAUGCGCAUGGAUAAAAAUUUAAAACAUAAUAACAAAUACUUGUUAUGUUUUAAAUUUUUAUGCUAGAUGGAUGUGAUUUAGAAUUUUAAUUAGAGAAAUAUGUACUUUGAAAUUAUUUGUGGAUGAAAAUUUAUAAUAAUUGCCGACUUUUAUUAAACAAGUUAAGGAUUGGAUAAUUU